AUUGAACGCUGGCGGCAUGCUUUACACAUGCAAGUCGAACGGUAACAGGUUAAGCUGGCGAGUGGCGAACGGGUGAGUAAUAUAUCGGAACGUGCCCAGUCGUGGGGGAUAACGCAGCGAAAGCUGUGCUAAUACCGCAUACGAUCUAUGGAUGAAAACGGGGGAUCGCAAGACCUCGCGCGAUUGGAGCGGCCGAUAUCAGAUUAGGUAGUUGGUGGGGUAAAGGCUCACCAAGCCGACGAUCUGUAGCUGGUCUGAGAGGACGACCAGCCACACUGGAACUGAGACACGGUCCAGACUCCUACGGGAGGCAGCAGUGGGGAAUUUUGGACAAUGGGCGCAAGCCUGAUCCAGCAAUGCCGCGUGCAGGAUGAAGGCCUUCGGGUUGUAAACUGCUUUUGUACGGAGCGAAAAGGCUCUCUCUAAUACAGGGGGCUCAUGACGGUACCGUAAGAAUAAGCACCGGCUAACUACGUGCCAGCAGCCGCGGUAAUAC
rnacentral:rRNA from 1 species